AGUGGCAAACGGGUGAGUAAUGCGUGGAAAUCUGCCCAUUAGUACGGAAUAACAUAUGUAAUGUGUGCUAAUACCGUAUAUUCUCGAGAGAGGAAAGAUUUAUCGCUAAUGGAUGAGUCCACGUCAGAUUAGUUAGUUGGUGAGGUAAUGGCUCACCAAGACUAUGAUCUGUAGCUGGUCUGAGAGGACGAUCAGCCACACUGGAACUGAGACACGGUCCAGACUCCUACGGGAGGCAGCAGUAGGGAAUAUUGGACAAUGGGCGAAAGCCUGAUCCAGCAAUGUCGCGUGAGUGAAGAAGGUCUUAGGAUCGUAAAGCUCUUUCAGUGAGGAGGAUGAUGACUGUACUCACACAAGAAGCUCCGGCUAACUUCGUGCCAGCAGCCGCGGUAAUACGGAGGGAGCAAGCGU
rnacentral:rRNA from 1 species